rnacentral:sRNA from 1 species
CCCAGAGGUAUUGAUUGGUGAGAUUUCAGUACGUAUGAGUACUCACUUUUUGCACCAACCUGCGCGGAUGCGCAGGUUUUUUUU